rnacentral:rRNA from 1 species
GUAUCAUGGCUCAGGAUGAACGCUAGCUACAGGCUUAACACAUGCAAGUCGAGGGGCAGCAUGGUCUUAGCUUGCUAAGGCCGAUGGCGACCGGCGCACGGGUGAGUAACACGUAUCCAACCUGCCGUCUACGUCUUGGACAGCCUUCUGAAAGGAAGAUUAAUACAAGAUGGCAUCAUGAGUUCACAUGUUCACAUGAUUAAAGGUAUUCCGGUAGACGAUGGGGA